ACUUGCUAUUGGUUAAUAGCAGUAAAGCCCGCCCAACCACGUCCUGUCAGCUACUUUAAGUAGAAGCCCGGCCAGAGCCCCUUUCCUUUCAGCGACUGUGAAGCUAGGAGAUCCUGGCCGGGAGGACGUCGGAUCUCGUUGUUAUCCCAAUCUUUCGACCCUCCCCCAAAGCCCCUCAAUAAAGUGCAUUGAUCUCA